CUUUUUCAUGAUAUUCUAAUUUUAUGACCAGCACCUGUACAUGCAUGUCAGGCCAGUGUCAACAGUGUUAAUAAAACAAUCAUUUUAAAUGUCUUCCCUUUCCAAACAGUGAAACAUUUUUACCAUUUUUAAUUAUUUGCAUAAAUAACUUAUUUAAUGAAUCAUAAUUUUUUAUUGAUUCAACCAGAGCUAAACCACUUCCACUGUUUGUUUAGCACCAGUUCUUUUUUUCAGCUUCAGAAACUCUGACCUUAAGAACUGGUYCAAUCUCUGCACAGCACCUCGAUGAGCCAGAACAAAGAGCCACUUUCAUCUGGAACUGGACAAAGAUCAUUUAUUCAGGAGACUUUUAAUGUGACGAGGCUCCAUGUUGGUUCUCUGGCUGUGGAAAACCAAACUGGUUUUUAUAGAACUGGUUCUACACUCAACCUCAAACUCUGUGGGUGAGGGGGUGGAGUUAUUUUAUUUAUCAAGUCAAAAUUUAAAACGAUUGAAGAAGUAAACAUUUUCUCAUACAGUAUAUCAAAUACAGAUAUGAAUGUAAUUCAGUCUAAAAGUAAUGAUAACAUCUGUUCCUUUGGUCCAGAGCCUUCAUGGAUCCAUGUGUGAACACCCCACUCCAGUGUUUACCACCAUUACUGGGGAGAACAUGGGUUCCCUUUGGCCCAACUGCAGUCAGGUCUUUAUGAUGAUCCAAGGGAAUGUUGGUGAAACUGAAGACAGCAGUCCACAUCAGCAACCAUGGAGGUGGAGGGCACAGCAGAACCAGCCUUUGUGGAUGUGGACCAAGGCUUGACGCUGGCUGGCGUGGCCUUUCUCUGCCUGCUGCUGAUAGCCAUGAUCAUCCGCUGUGCCAAGGUCAUCAUGGACCCCUACAGUGCCAUCCCAACAUCCACAUGGGAGGAGCAACACCUGGAUGACUGACCCAUACAGUACCAUCUCACAGCCCUCUCUGACAAACCAGGAGAAAAAUGUCUUCUGUUCCUGAUCAGUGACAUCAACAGGCACUUCAUCUCAAACUGAGGAUCACACAAGAAAACUAACUGGUUCAUCCAAACAGAACGAAUUCUUUAAGCACUACUUUUAUAAAAUGGAAACAAACAUAUCAUAACUUUCAACUUAGUAGGUUUUGGUAGCACAAUGUAAGACAGUGAAUUUAUUUUAAACUCUGAUACAAUCUGAAGCAGAAAGUCUUUCUGAAGUUGACAUUAUUUACAGACAUCUUUUGGUAAAAUUUAAACUGUCUCUAAUAUUAUAAUUAUUUUUAAAGUAGAAAAAUGAAACAAA